rnacentral:rRNA from 1 species
GACGAACGCUGGCGGCGUGCUUAACACAUGCAAGUCGAACGGAAAGGCCCAGCUUGCAGGCUGCGCGAGAGGCGAACGGGGGAGUAAUACGUGGGUGAUCUGCCACUAAUUUCGGGAUAAGCUCGGGCAACGGGGUCUAAUACCGGAUCGGGCAAUCGUAUAGUGUCGGUUGUGGACAGUUCUUUCGGUUACGGAUGAGCCUGCGGCCUAUCAGCUUGUUGGGGUGGUAAUGGCCUACCAAGGCGUCGACGGGUAGCCGGCCUGAGAUGGUGGACUGCCACAUUGGGACGGAACUACGGCCCGGACUCCUACGGGAGGCGACGGUGGGGUGGAUUACACUAUGGGCGCGAGCCUGCUGCAGUGACGCGGCGUGGGGGAUGACAGCCAGCGGGUUGUAAACCUCUUUCGUCAGGGACGAAGCUUUAGUGACGGUACCUGUAGAAGAAGCACCGGCUAACUACGUG